UCCCCACCAGCACUCUCUCUUGUUUUUUCUUUUCCGUCUCCAUCUUUGGGCACUCAUAAAUUGCCUUAUUACAUUGAAGGGAAGUUUCAUAAACUUCGUGGAGUGAUUGGGGCGGAAGUUGCCCCCACUCUUCUAACUUCUUCCCAACAAAGUGCAUACUCCACUUUCAUAAUUUCGUUGUAGUGCACAUCUAUUCUUUCAUUUUUAAGUUUAAAAAAUUCUAUUCAACCCUUCAAAAUUAAGUUUUAAUUUUUAUACUUAUUUGAAUAUUAUAUUAACCACAUCUUCUUAUAAAUUAUUCAUUCCAAAAAUGUUUCAUAUCUGUAUACGAAGGUUCAAAUAAUCUAAAUGUUAAAAAAAAAAAAAAAAAGCUAAAUAAAUAACCUAUUCAAAAUAUGGAAGUUCAAAAAUGAAAUUGUGGUUGAAAUAAAAGAAUUUUUUUUUUUUGUUUUUGUUUUUCAUAUUUGAAGUGAAAACAAAAAGUUUAAGAAAUAAUCUAUAUUUUGUUUUCUUUUAUUUUAGAUUAAGUUUUGGUUCAAUUUUUAAAUCCAAACAUUCAUUAUAUUUUUUUAUUUUUUAAAGUUCGCUUACUUUUUCAUUUUCUGAAAAAAAUAAUUCGAGAACUUUAACCAAUACGUGAGAGUGUAGUAUUUAUUGGUGUGUAUUAAUCUUUUCAAACUAUCAUACAAUUAAGUUAGCUUUAUUUCACGUAUUUCUAAAGUUUUCUACUUUAGUAGGUCUAGUCACCAACAAUACUUUUAUUUACUGACUUUUUGUUUCACAUUCAACCAAAAGUUUGAAUAACGCGUUCUUUUAAGUUUUUUUCUUACAUCAAUUAGCUGAAUUUAGAUCUUCCGUAACUAUUUGGCAACUAAAAACUUUUUUCAAGCUGUAUUUGUUUCAACCCUACCGAUUAACUAUUUAAAAGCAAAAUUAAAAAUUAAACUGAUAAUUUAGUAAUAAAAAUGAAAAACAUGUAUAUAUAUAUAUAUAUGAAAGUUAACAUCAUCAGUGAUUUAGCGCUAAUUAGAAGCACAUUCAUGUAGAUACUUAAAUACCAUAACAUCAAAUAAAUUAUCUAGAGAAAUUAGAUAUAAAUUAGCUCAAUUACUUCUAUGUAUGUAUAGAAAAAUUGUAAAAAAUAGAACACUUUUCACAAAAUAUUUAUAUAAAAACUAAUUGUAAUGAAUUUUGUCUAUUUUAAUCUUUUCUAUUUUUUUUAAUAAAAAAGAUCUAAGUUAUAUAUAUGAAAAAUUGUGAAAUUAAUUAUUGUGGGUGGAAAUUAGCAGCUAUCAGGAUUUGGAGCGGUAGUGAUAACGCCACUGCUAGGGAAUUUGUCGGACAAAUACGGAAGGAAAGCCCUGCUUACAUUACCUACCGCAAUCUCCAUUAUCCCACUCGGUAAUGGAUUUAUAUUUCCAUAUACUUUACCUCUUUUGGAUUUAUAUUUUACAUGUGAUUUUGACAUAAUUCAAAGUCUAGACUAGUCUUGUUUUAUAAAUUUAAAGAUUUAAAAAUUCAUUAGAUAUUGCCAAAAUUGAAAUAUAACUACAAAUGAAAGACUGGAUUUAAUGAUUAGUUUGUUUGGGAGUGGGAGUAUUUUUGGUUACUGUUCUUUUAUCAAUUCAUAUUCUUUGUUAGUACUCAACUUCUCUAUUUCCAUCCACGUUUUGUCUACAUAAUCAUUGCCUUUUAUCAUUAUUGCUUUUGUUGUAUUAGAAUUUAAAACCACUUUCAUGUUUUAUAUUUUUGUGAUAUUCAAGAUGUCGAGUGCACUAGGAUGGUAAUCCAACUUCCUCAAUUGAGUUUUUGGAGGUUUUAAUUAUUUCACUUUUAGAGAAAAAUUAUCCCUAAUCAUUGCAUCUGUCUGGGCUUCACCGGCCCACCCACUCUACCUAUUGUUGAUGAGAAUGUUUGGAAUGUGAAAUGUGAUUACGAUAGUAUGCUAUUAUAACUUAAGUUAUAACAACGACUGGUUUGAUAAAAUAAUAAUAAAUAUUAUUGUAAAAAUAAAAAAAUAAUAAAUAUAAAAUAGUAAACAUACUAUCAAUUUGAAAUAGUAUUUAUGAACCUAUUAAAGGUUUUUAAAUAGUAUUUAAUAUAACAAGAGAUGUUUAUUAUAAUUUUAGAUAAUUCUCACCUCAAACAAUCCCUACAUGUGAGUUAAUUAAUUGAGAGUAACACAUCGAUGUGAUGUGAUGUAUGCUAUUGAUUGAAAUGAACAAACAAAUUGACAAAUUAGAAUUGAACUGAAAUAAAUCAAAUUAAAUAAAUUUAAAAAUAAUUAUAAACCGGUUUGUACAUAAUAUACAUGUUAUAUUAUAUAUUAAAAAAUCAUUUUAGUCCUAGUACUUGUUUAUUUUUACUAUAUAUUUUUUCCUAAUUUGUUUGGAAAAAUAAAGAAAAGAAGAGAAAGAGAGUUGAAACUAUUUGUUUGUAAUUUAACGUUCGAAAAAGGCCUGUAGAAGUAGUUAGCUUGUGAAAGGCGCGUUAACGGCGAUUUGAUAAUUGGGUUGGCGCGCAGCGAUAUUGGCAUACAGCAGGGAGAGAAGGUUCUUCUAUGCAUAUUACGCUACGAGGACUCUCACUGCCAUGGUCUCUGAAGGAACUGCUGCUUCCCUUGCUCUCGCUUAUCUGGUAAUUUCUUUACUCAUCUUCUUCCAAUUUAUUCUCAAUCUCAUCCUCCGAUUCCAUUCUCAGGCAGACAACACUUCACUUGCAAAUCGAGCUUCCGCAUUUGGUUUGUUUACUGGAGUUUGCUCUGCUGCUUUUGUUUGCGGAACCUUAGCAUCUCGCUUCCUCGCUACUGACUACAUUUUUCCGGUACUUUUCUUCUCUCGCCCCGCCAAAUCAAUUACACAGAUCUCUUGUUCUGCUGUUCUAUGUUUCGAGAUUCAAUGCAUAGUUUUGUGGCUUUUGGAUUUUCUGUUUAUUUCCAUCAAAUUAUUGCUGAUUUCUUUACGAUGAGAACAUUUCUCGAUGAUCAAACUGUCUACUGCUCUCUUUUUCUAUAGUUAUGUGUUGAGAUUCAAUGGUAGACCGGUAGUGAUUUUGUUAUGGAUCUGUUGAACGUAUUUCCAUGAGAUUUUUUAGAAUGUUCAUCUGUGAUUCCGAUUGUUUACAGUCUUUUCUGAUCUCUUGUUUUGUAGUUUAUGUUUGGAGAUUCAAUGGUGGUGAUAGUGUUAUUGUUCUGCCGUAUAUUUCUAGUCGAUUGCUGCCAUUUCAUCUACAUUCCCCAUUAUAUACAUGAGAUUGUUCCUCUACAAUCGUAAAUGUCCACUCAUCUCUUGUUCUAUAGUUUAUGUUGAGAUUCAAUGAUAUAUUGUUCUACUGUGCAUUUCAAUCAGAUUGCUGCAGUAUUCUCCAUGGUCGCAACUGUAUACAUGAGAAUUUUUCUCAAGGAUCGUUUGCCUGGUAGAAGUGAUUUAGUACAGCCAAUGUUGAAGGAAGAAGUGCCGGAAUUAACCGACCGUGAGGACGAUGGUGGUGAAUUGCCGAGACCGACGCAACCUUUCAGAAAGAUGCCAACUCUGCAUGAUGUUAUUACCUUAUUCAAGAGCAGGUAAGUAAGAUUUGUCAGCUAUGUGCAUGAUCAUUUUACUGUGAGAAGAGAACAUUCUUCCUAUGACUCUGCAGUAGGCCAUACUAUUUAAUAACAAUAGGAUACAACUUCAUUGAUUACAGUACACUACUUUCAAAAGCCGCAGUUGUUGUAUUCUUUACUGGCCUCGGUGAGGGAGGGAUUCAAGCCUCUAUAUUGGUAUAUCAGUAUUUUUCUACAGAAUUACCUUCAUAAUUAAUGAGAUUUUAAGGCCAGAAGUAGUUGCAUUGAAAUAUAUGAAAUAAAUAUUCAAGGGUCUCAAGUGGGCUAAUGGAAAUUCUAUUCCAAGUUUGACAUAUGUAAUUGUUGACAGAUUAAUGAAACAAAGACUUGAAGAGAUGCAUAAUGUCAAGAAAAAUUUGCAUCUUCCAAUGCCUCUACAAAUCAGGACUUUGUUAAGCUGUUAGAGUGUUUCCUAGUUUAGAAUAAAAAUUGAAUAAAAGCAUGCUUAGAUAUCUAUUUUAUAUAUUUAUUCGGGGUGAGAACAACGGGAAAACAGCUACUAAACAUCUCUCAUAGUUAAAUUGUAUCGCAUUGCAGUACUAUUUCAAAGCUCGAUUUCACUUUGAUAAGGACCAGUUCGCAGAUUUGAUGCUACUUAAUGGGGUGGCAGGAACCGUCUCGCAGGUAGAAUCUACCUGCUUUAUUUGUGUUUGAUAAAAUAGGUUAUCUAAACCUUUGAAACCAACUUGUUCAAGAUAAAGCUGUAAUUUAUCAAACACUAGACACUCAUAUUACAACUGAUUUUAGGAACAAAAAAAAAAACAAAAACAAAAUUGUCGACAAUUAUUUUGAAAAGCUAUUGCAAUUCCAAACGGGUCUGGUUCUUUACACUCUGUCUUCUGCUCUUUCUCCUCUUUUAAUACACUGCUUUAUACAUAUAUGCAGCUUGUUUUGAUGCCCCUGUUGGUUCCUGUUCUAUCUGAAGAUAAGCUACUUUCAUUAGGUCUUUUGGUGGGAAGCAUCGGUGUAAGCACCUCGGACUCGCUAUUUAGUAUUCCAUGAUCAAAAUUUUCCCUUAUCUACUAUAUAAACAAUGAAGCAUUUACAUUUAACCAGCAUUGCUCAUUUCAAGUUGAUUUUUUGCAGACGGUCAUUAACAGCAUUGCCUGGGCAAUUUGGGUAAAUACUUUUCCAAUUAUCAAGAGUUCCUAACAAUCCUAUGCAGAGAUUUUUUUUUUCUUGCAUUGCCUUUUAGCAUCCCACUCUAACACAUACACAAGAAUGUACCAAAAUGGGUUUAACUUAGGAUGCAGCUGAAAUAAUUUUCUUCUUUCUUCCCUAGGUUUGAGAUGUAAAUUAAAUCUCGUUAUGGUAAAAACCCAGUUAGGAAAAAUAUUAGGAUUGUUAGUAUGAUUACGAGAAGGGGAAUAUCAAUAAUUAUUAUAGCUAUUAAGUUUGUUAAGCUUUUUAGUUAUAAAUAGAGGGAGCGGAUUGGAAGCAAGGAGUUCAGAAACUUUUGGGAUUUUUUUUUAGGAAAUUUGGGAAAGACUAGUCUUCCCCAAAGAUUAUGAUAUAUUGUAGUUUUUUCGUUGAUAUUACAAUUGCAAUACAUAUUUCUAUAUUUUAGUGUUUUUGUGUUCUGUCUUGUCCUGGAGUAUACUUGGUAGGAGUAAUCCUAACCAUUACAUAAAAAACAUCAAUGUGUCAUUAUAUAUUUGUUAGGAGGAAUCCCUUAAAAUCAUUUGUUUUUCAAUUCUCAUGUUUUUCCUUUUCUUGUACAGGUUCCUUAUGCUGUAACUAUAUUUUUUAUUUUCUCUGUUUUUGUGAGCCCAUGUGUAAGUUUUAAAUUUCUCCCCUCUGUAUACGUUUCUUCUCGCUGAUGCAUGACCAUUGCUCAUUGGGUUCUCGGAUUUCUACAGCUACGCAGCAUUGUAUCAAAACAAGUUAGUCAAUAUGAG
rnacentral:lncRNA from 1 species